CUUUUCAGUUCUGUCUUCCUGAGGCUGCUGUUUCUGGGCAUGGCCAGGGGAUCUUCAGACUUUACAAACCGGUUGUGCAGAGCCAGGCAUUUCAAUAAGAAACAAAAUGCUGAGUAACAACAUGAAGUCAGAGUGUUGCUUGCCAAGAGCUGGGAGGCCUGGGUGGUUUCCCAAUCUUAAAGAAGCAGAAGGAUAUUAAAGUGAGCCUCCCAAAGGAAAACGUGGAUCUACUUACCAACGCAGAAAAUGAUACACAGGGAUUCGAUUUAGGCACGCUACAUUCAAAUGACUUGGAAGAGCAGGUUCUCUGAGCCAGGAUACUAAAGUCCCUGUUUAGGAAAGAGCCACAUUGUAUGUUUACCCUACCACAAAAAUACAGUGCUGGCAGAGGCAACAGCAGCAAUGAUGCUCUACGAGCCUGACUCAGGGCCAGCAGUGAUGGCAGCCCAAGAAUUCUGGAGGAAAGUGGCUCUGGGAAUUGGACAGUGGCUCAGUGAUGUUGGGCCACCAAGUCUGCAAUUCUCCCGACCUGUUCUUCAUGGUUGUAAGAUGACUGCUGCAAUUCCCAGCAUCGUGUGCAUGUUA
rnacentral:lncRNA from 1 species